rnacentral:rRNA from 1 species
CAAAGGGAUUACCGGUGGCGGAUGGGCAUGCGGCGCAUUAGCUAGUCGGCGGGGUAACGGCCCACCGAGGCGACGAUGCGUAGGGGUUCUGAGAGGAAGGUCCCCCACACUGGUACUGAGACACGGACCAGACUCCUACGGGAGGCAGCAGUGAGGAAUAUUGGUCAAUGGGCGCGAGCCUGAACCAGCCAAGUCGCGUGAGGGAUGACGGUCCUAUGGAUUGUAAACCUCUUUUGCCGGGGAGCAAGCGUGCGUUCGUGAGCGCGCGUCGAGAGUACCCGGAGAAAAAGCAUCGGCUAACUCCGUGCCAGCAGCCGCGGUAAUACGGAGGAUGCGAGCGUUAUCCGGAUUUAUUGGGUUUAAAGGGUGCGUAGGCGGGAUGCCAAGUCAGCGGUAAAAAUGCGGUGCUCAACGCCGUCGAGCCGUUGAAACUGGCGUUCUUGAGUGGGCGAGAAGUAUGCGGAAUGCGUGGUGUAGCGGUGAAAUGCAUAGAUAUCACGCAGAACUCCGAUUGCGAAGGCAGCAUACCGGCGCCCUACUGACGCUGAGGCACGAAAGCGUGGGUAUCGAACAGGAUUAGAUACCCUGGUAGUCCACGCAGUAAACGAUGAAUGCUAACUGUCCGGCUCGAAUGAGCGCUGG